rnacentral:rRNA from 1 species
AACGAACGCUGGCGGCAUGCCUAACACAUGCAAGUCGAACGAGAUCUUCGGGUCUAGUGGCGCACGGGUGCGUAACGCGUGGGAAUCUGCCCUUUGGUUCGGAAUAACAGUUGGAAACGACCGCUAAUACCGGAUGAUGACGAAAGUCCAAAGAUUUAUCGCCAGAGGAUGAGCCCGCGUAGGAUUAGCUAGUUGGUGUGGUAAAGGCGCACCAAGGCGACGAUCCUUAGUUGGUCUGAGAGGAUGAUCAGCCACACUGGGACUGAGACACGGCCCAGACUCCUACGGGAGGCAGCAGUGGGGAAUAUUGGACAAUGGGCGAAAGCCUGAUCCAGCAAUGCCGCGUGAGUGAUGAAGGCCUUAGGGUUGUAAAGCUCUUUUACCCGGGAUGAUAAUGACAGUACCGGGAGAAUAAGCUCCGGCUAACUCCGUGCCAGCCGCCGCAGUAA